AGCCCUGCCAGGGCAAAUCACUCUAUCGCAACCUCGGAGAAGCAAGCAGCUCAGUUUCACUCAAUCGCGAAGCCGGAGGAAUCACCCCAUCAGAACCACUCGAUCACCACUCGAUCACCAGGAAGCCUAUCUGCUCAUUAUGCACUCAACCAGACAAGCUGAGAACAAAGAAGAGAAGAGAAGCCGAAGAAACCACUCGAUCACCACCUCAUGACAUCCACUCGAUCGCACUCGAUCACAGGGUCGCUGGACCAUUCAAUCUCGAAUUCACUGCAUCUCACUCGAUCGCAAGACGGAGCCCCUGAAGCCCAGUUUGAUCAAUAACAUACUCGAUCACUAGGAAGCUUAUUUCUGCCCGUCAGAUGCCAAUGACAUAUUCGGUCGCAGGAUCAUGACGUGAAGAUUUGCUAUAUAUUUAGUUUCCUUAUUUGUUUCAUUUCUCGCUUAUAUAAACUGCCUCUUAGGGUUUUCCCUAGGGCAUCCGUUAUUAUCCGCUAUUAUCCAUUAUUAUCUCGCUUUUACAUUUUCGCAACUUUGAUAGCCGCAGUGUUUCUCCUGCGACUUUGUAGUUUCGCUUUCAAGUAUUUGAUAUUCAGUUUUCGUUUAAGUCUUUCGUCAUUUCUGUUAUCAUGUUUUCAGUUGUUGCUUUGUUAUUGUCUUUGAUUAUGUCUGAGUAGUGAACUGUAUUUCUGAGGAUGUGAUAGAAUAGUUGUGGUUUACUUGGUCGUUUUAGGUGGUUGAGUUUAGAGUUCUAGAAUCCCUUCUGGAUUAGUUGCGCUUAUUGCUUAUUUCACUAGCUAAUGUGGAGUAUGAGUCCAGACGUCCAGCGCUCAGAAGGCAUUUAAUGGGCGUUGGAUCCUAUUAAUUCCAGAGAUAUCUGACUCUACCCCAAGGGAUUAGCUGUAGAGAGGGUAUUAACUUUAACAUGUUGAUUCGGUAAUGCCUGCUUAGUUAGAGAUCGCUAAAGGGAUUUAGGUCAGUGUCUAGCUUUGCUUGAGGAUUUCUAUCACGAGAGUGAAUUAAUCUGUUGUUGAACUUGUUGUCUAGGGAUAGCUUCUGUGAAGUUUUGUCAACCGCCUGAAUAGAUUAAGUAGACCACACUAUUCGAUUACCACAUCCUUAGGAAUCGUUUAUCCAUUUGCCUGUUAUCAUUUCUGCUUUGUCAUUCACUUGCCUGCUAUUGCCAUUUCUGCUUUUAGUUUCAUUUCAUUUCUGUUAUUGCAUAUUAGGACUGUUAGAACCAACCAACUUUCUGCUUGGCUUGACUUAGAGUUUUCUGAUCAUAUCUCAUCUGUUUGCAUCACACCGGAUUGGAUUGACAUCCUAAAAUACUACAACGACAAGAUAGUGUUUUAGGAUUAAUUGAGUAAAAUCCUACUAUCAAUUUGUGCCUUCCUCAGUUCUCUAAACUUGUCACUUUUAGCCUACAGAAUGCAAUCCUAUUUAUCAGUGCGUUAAAAAAAAUCAGAAAGACACAUGACUAUAGAACAAAAUC
rnacentral:sRNA from 1 species